CAAAAACAUCUUUUCUUGUUAGUUUUUGAAGUAUGGCCUGCCCACUGAGUAUUUUGAAGGGCCGCGGUAUUUUGACCGUGCAAAGGUAGCAUAAUCAUUAGUUCUUUAAUUGUGAUCUGGAAUGAAUGGCUUGACGAGAUGCAAGCUGUCUUAGGUUUGGAGAAAUUUUAGUUGAAUUUGGUUUCUGGGUUAAAAUACUCAGAUUUUUUUAUGGGACGAGAAGACCCUAUAGAGUUUUACACUUUUAUUUAUUGUUAUUGUUUAGUUUGGUUUUGUUUUUAAAUAAGUUUAUGUGUUUUGUUGGGGUGAUGGGAAGAAUUUGUUUAACUCUUCUUUAUUUUAUAUACAUUUAUAUGUGUUAUUAUGAUCCAUUUAUUUUGAUUAAAAGAUUAAAUUACCUUAGGGAUAACAGCGUUAUCUCCCUUGAGAGUUCUUAUUGGCAGGGGGGUUUGCGACCUCGAUGUUGGAUUAAGGUUGAUUUUUGGUGUAGGAGCUGAAUAUAAAUAUUGGGUCUGUUCGACCUUUAAAAUCUUACGUGAUCUGA
rnacentral:rRNA from 1 species